UACGUAGGGUGCGAGCGUUAAUCGGAAUUACUGGGCGUAAAGCGUGCGCAGGCGGUUGUGCAAGACAGAUGGGAAAUCCCCGGGCUUAACCUGGGAACUGCAUUUGUGACUGCACAGCUGGAGUGCGGCAGAGGGGGAUGGAAUUCCGCGUGUAGCAGUGAAAUGCGUAGAUAUGCGGAGGAACACCGAUGGCGAAGGCAAUCCCUGGGCCUGCACUGACGCUCAUGCACGAAAGCGUGGGGAGCAAACAGG
rnacentral:rRNA from 1 species